GAACUGCGGGAGGGAUCAUUACA
rnacentral:rRNA from 1 species